rnacentral:rRNA from 1 species
AUUGAACGCUGGCGGCAGGCCUAACACAUGCAAGUCGAGCGAGCGGCGGACGGGUGUGUAAUGUCUGGGAAACUGCCCGUUGGAGGGGGAUAACAACUGGAAACGGUAGCUAAUAUCGCAUAUCAUCAGAUGUGUCCAGAUGGGCUUAGCUAGUGGGUGGGGUAUUGGCUCACCUAGGCGACGAUCUCUAGCUGGUCUGAGAGGAUGACCAGCCACACUGGAACGGAGACACGGUCCAGACUCCGACGGGAGGCAGCAGUGGGGAAUAUUGCACAAGGGGCGCAAGCCUGAUGCAGCCAUGCCGCGUGUGUGAAGAAGGCCUUCGGGUUGUAAAGCACUUUCAGCGGGGAGGCGGUACCCGCAGAAGAAGCACCGGCUAACUCCGUGCCAGCAGCCGCGGUAAUUC